UCAAAUGUCAAUAACAAUUAAAAAUUAGUUGCCAAGCAAUUCAGAUUUACACUUUCAUCUCAAAACAAAGAAUCAUGAUAAAAUACUUGACAGAGGAAACAAAACCGAACAAAUCUGGAGGUCGAACACAAGGAAUACAGAAAAUUGAACAUAUUCAUAGAGUCAAAAAUCCAAAUAUUCAUUCAUAUUCAAAAGAGGAUUUCGGGUAAAUGUAUGCAUACCUAGACAGCCGAAAAUAAACUGAAGACAACAAACAAAGGUCUGAAAUAGAUGGUGAAAUCCAGCAACAGGAAUAGCAACAUACCAGCGACCAAACGAGCCAAAAUUGACAACAGCGGAAACAAUAGCAGCUUUAAACUUUCAGCAGUUUUUUUUUUUUUUGAUAAAAACAGAGGAUUCCCUUUUUUUUCCUCUUUACGUCCAAGCUUAAUGUCACGCCCCAAAACCGAGGAGUGCGACCGGCGCUCAACCGAGUGAACCUGACCGAGCAAUCCUGUUAGAUUUCAUUUCACCCAAACUCAUUCACGAAUGGAGAUAAUACGUAUUUUCAUUAAUUAGACAAAACGGUGUUCAUGUCUAUAAUACCAAUUCAUUAUCAAUAGUUUCAUCAUUUUAAAGUCUCAAAUGGACAAAUAAUGCAACCACAACAUAACAUAUUUUGACUAUCCCAGCACCAAUACACAACUCACACUAUGUCUACGGAGCCUCUAUAGAUAAAGAAGAGUACAAUGAUUAUGUCGGCAACAAGGCCCCGGCUAUUUCUCAAACAGAAUACACAAAGUACAAAAGAUUCAUGACCCCGGGAUGAAGUGGGGCUCACCAAGUCAGCUGGGAAGAAGGUGUACUGCUAUCACUGAUCAAUGUCUCCUACUGUGGAACCACCUACAUCCAUUUAAAGAUGCAGCGCCCCCGACAAAAGGGACGUUAGUACCGUCGAAUAGUACUAUUAUGAAAACUAAAUACCAAUUUAAGAAUUAAGAAAUAGAAGACGAAUAUGAUGAACCAGUGCAGCAAUAGCACAAUAUAAAUAACUGUUUAAACCAGAGCAAGCUUAUUAAGAGCUAUCAAUAACAUUUAUAGGAUUCAAGAUGAGAUCCUCUGUAACCAUCUUCACACAAAGCGGGGAUCCUCUGUAACCAUCUUCACACAAAGCGGCCCUGCCGCCUCACCCGAUGUAUGCAGGUGGAGGUGUACGUACAAUACCACAACUCUAAUCAAGCGGCCCUGCCGCCUCACCCCAAUGUAUGCGAGUGGAUGUAUAACCACAGUAUCAAGAACCUACACAAAGCGGCUAUGCCGCCUCACCCCAAUGUAUGCAGGUGGUGAUGCCACAACAAUACCAAAACUAUACACAAAACGGUCAUACCGCCUCACCCUAAUAUAAGCGGGUGGAGGUGCAGUCCCACAAUACCAUAAUUCCUACACAAAGCGGUCAUGCCGCCUCAUCCCAAUAUAUAUGCGGGUGGAGGUGUAUCACAAUCACGAUCUCUAUACCAUAAUCCCCACACAAAGCGGUCACGCCACCUCACCCCAAUGUAUGUGGGUGGAGGUGUAUCACAAUCACAAUUUCUAUACCAUAAUCCCCACACAAAGCGAUCAUGUCGCCUCACCCCCAAUGUAUGCGGGUGAAGGUAUAUCACAAUCAUAAUCUCUACACAACUUGGCAUAAUAACUUUUACAAAAAUCACAACUAGAAAUUANNNNNNNNNNNNNNNNNNNNNNNNNACAACCCAAUCUUUACCAUUUUUAGCUCAACAAUCUUCCUACACUCUUUGAUAACACAUGCAAGAAAAUAAACAACUCCCAUAUCCAAGAAUUGUCUUGCUAAUUUCCCAUUCUUAGACAAAAUUUGAAAUUGAGGGUUAGAGGUGAAGAAUCUUACCUCUAGGAUGAAUACCUAGUAUCUUUCCCUUCUUAAUCAUCGAAAACUUGAGCAAGAAUUGAAGAACAAUUAUUGAAGAACACCUUCUCACUCUAGGACACUCUCUCUUACACUACAAAUAUCAGAAUUUUAGCCAAAAUGAUUUAACCCCUCUUAUUCCCAGACUUGGAGUUAUUUAAUGAGUUCCCACGUCCGCGGCCGCAGAUUUGGCCGCGGAUUUGAGGCAGAAACGCUCAAAUAUGCGCGGCCGCGGAUUUGGUCGUGCAUCUAGCCGCGCAUAUGACACAUGUCCAGUAAAAUGGCUAUAACUUUCUGUAUACAUAUCCAAAUGACAAACCGAUUAAUGCGCUGGAAACUAGAUUCAAAUAUAUUUAAUUUGAUAGGUUAUACACUAUAUAAAUUUUCAUAACCUGAGAGUUAUGCUCGUUUGAAGUUAGAUCUUGUGCAAACUCACUUAAAAUUUUAUCCCAUCAUAUAAUUUUCAACUUGACUUAGCCUUAGGGAUCUUCUUAGAUCAUAAACCAUUCUUAAGGCACCUCAUAUAUAUAUUAUCAUCAUCAAUUGAUAUCACUCAAAUUAUCAGUCUUAUUCAUACCCGAAUUAAUAUAAUUAGCACCUGCCAAUAUUUUUAAUGGUCUUAAAACACUUAAAAAAUUUUCCGGGCUAACCCCCUCCCUUUUAAAGUCACUAUGGCAUUUUUGUAUGUAAAGUGGUGAAGAUAGGCCCCCCAAACAGUGGAGUUGUUGGCUCUCUUGUUAUGUGUGUAGGUCCGAGAGAGUGGAAAUGAGAUGGGGAAGGUUCCAUUUUUUAGGGAGAGGUUUGUCCGUUUCUUUUAGGGAAUUGGGGUGAUGCGGGGGAUUGUGAGUAGGGAACAAGGAAAAGUGGAGUGGGGAUAAAGAGUGGAGGGACAAAUAAAAGUGGAGUGGGACAUGCGUGGAAAGAUGGGAGCGGGAAAGAUGGAGUAAUAAGUGAGGUAUUGAUGAGAUGAGUGAGAAACAUUCAAGCAUGGUAAAAAAUUAGGUGCUCACAGGCCAGAGCUAUCACACCCCUUUUUACCCCACAAAAGAUAUGUGUUAUGGAUUAUUGUGGGUUAAAGAAUUUUUUCAAUUAAAGUGACAAAAUUAAGUAGGGAUUAUUUUAUUGUUCAGAGUCGCCACUUGGAAUUGAUUUUUGGGUGUUCCAAGUCACCUUUUAUUUGAAUCUCUAGUCAAAGGAAGGUUUGACUCUAUUAUUAUUGGUCUGCGAAAAUAAAGUCCAGGUAAGAAAUUCUAUUGAUCGGAGAGAAGGUGUAAGGCAUUCCCCGUAUCCCGUGGUUCUAGCAUGGUCGCUUUAUUGACUACAACUUGGCUUUAAUUAAUUUGGAUAAACUAUGCUUUAUUAAUUUUCAUAUUUUAUCUGUGUCCUCUUUUAUUAUUAAAAUAUAUAAUUAUCUUUGAAAUGAAUCAUGUGUGUGAAUCCGUUCUAUUUAUUGUGCCAAAAUCAUGUUACGUGUACGUGUACACAAUUAAUAACAUUUCAUUAUACUAAGAUUAUUUUUCCCAAAGUUGCGCGAACGCAUACUUCAAUUUUAAUUUUGAAAAUUAUAAUUAUGUCACGCGAAUGUGUACAUAAUCACGAUAAUUUAUUUAUUAAUACGCGCCUAAAUUAUACUAGCGAUUAUUAAGAUUUUUUUUUAAAACUAAUUCUGAGAUUAUUGCAAGGCCAUUGAUUACGGAAUUUAUUGUGGAAGAAAUGUACUAAAUUAGUUAUGGAAGGUAGAUUAGCUUACUCUAGAUACUAAGUUAGCUCAACUAUUUGUUAUUGAGCUAAUGGACCUCUUUUAUUAUCCAAAGCAUUUGGCCCAAGUCCAAAAUCAUACUCAGCCUUGCAACAACCCAUAAGACAAAUUACAAAAAUGAAUUAUUUUUAGCAAAAAGCACUAUAGCACAAACUAACCAACUUAUACCAAUUUUUCAUUAACAUAGCUAAAAUAAUGCAGCAGAGAUGAAGUCCACAUAAAGGAAAAUAUUAAAGCAGACAAGCACACUCAUCAGGAAAACAUAACUUCAUUUAGCUUUAAGAUUCACGACAUAAGACUUCCAAUCAUAAAUUAAUCAAGUAAAAAGGUGAGGAAUGAACCUUCUUUAGAGUCAAAAUCACCUCAGAUGCUACAAAUCAAAAUCUGACUGGCACAUUGAGACCGGAGUUGCUAUCGUGCGACGACCUCGACGGCGACCUCAACCGAAACCGACGACUGGAUUUUUCGAACGGCGCCCUCAAACUCAACUCUUGAUGCUGCUGUUUUGUGGUGUUUUCAUGGUUGUUUGGUAUUUAAAGGUUAUUUUUGGGAGGUAAACUGCUGCAUCUUUUACAGCGCUUUGGGGUUGAAAAUGAGGUGCUUUGCUGGUGGUUUUGGACUGAUUUUUCAGCAGAUUUACAGCUUAUUUUGCUGCUCUCUUGGGCUGGAUUUUGCAGCUGAUUUGGGGCUGUUAUGGUGCCGGAUUUUGAUCGUGUUCAAUCGGUUUUUGGUGCUGGUUUUUGGGACAUAUUUGAGGUCAUUUUUGCAGUUAUUCGCAGCUGUUUUUGCUGCUCGUUUGGGGUGGGAUUUGAGCUGGAUUUAGGGCGCAAUUUCAGCUGUGUUUUGGUUGAUUUUUUGUUCACCUUUUUGGGCUCCUCUCCAGCUUGUUUUAAGGUGGUUUCCUUGGUAUCUGUGUACGAAAAAGGGUUGCCCUUUAAGGGUGUUUAAAUGAAAAGAAAUAAGAGAGGAAGAGUAGGAGUGGGAGUUGUUAAAGAGGAAAAGUUGGAGUAUGAGUUGUUUAAAGAGGAAGAGUGGGAGUGUGAGUUGUGAGGGAAUAAUUGUGUUGGUGGUAAAAUGUGUGAUAUAAUAUUCCUAAGUAAUAACUAUAAAAGGUAAAAUAAGAGCUAAACUUAAAAUAUAUUUAUAUACUAAAAAGUGGUGAAACAUUCAAGCAUGGUCAAAAAUUAGGUGCUCACAGCAUGCCCCUCUUUGCUUGAAAACAUGAAGAGUUUUCAGGCAAAGAAAUGAUGAGCGAUAUGACUAAUUUUUGGCCAUACUAUUAUUCAAAAGGGAAGAGAUAAGAGAAGAGUGCAACCGAGUCUUGUUUUGGACAGCCUACAUAUCCCGGGUUAUAAGGGAAUCAGGCCACGUGUAGUUCAAGAAAAAAUAUGGAAUGCUGAGUUUGGAGAGUCUAGUGAGGUUCCGUCGAGGCUCCGGCAUGUAGUCCUGCUAUUAUAUCAUAAUCAAAAUAAAAAGUAAACUAAACAAACCUAUCAUCUAUGAGUUACAAGAUUCAUAUGUAUAAGUCUUCUGAAACUUGAUGUUGAGUCUUGACUAGUUUUUCACGCACAAUUUGAUCUGAACCUUGAUGUUUGCUAGCUGCAGGUAUUAGUUCAUUCUUCUAAAGCUUCUUCUGAUCAAAAUGGGAAAUGCAAUUCUCGUGACUUCAGUCAUGUCUUGAGCAACCCAUAUCUUUUCCAUCUGCUUCUGUAUUUGGAUUCACUUCUUUUCCUUUUCUUUUCUUUAUUCUGGAUUGAGAAUUCUUCUUUUGGUCAUCCCGAACACUGUGCCUCGAGGUAAAACCUGCUCAGACAUAUCAAAACAAACAAACGAAGUGAAAUGUUUCUGCCACAGUUUUCACUAGAAAAAUUUCAUGAGAUAUUUGUAACAAUAUUCUAAACUAUUUCUUUAUUUCACUAGAAGUGGUGUACCCCGAAAAUAUUAUGCUGAAUUUUGUUUGGGUUGGUGUUCCUUUAUUGUCAAAAGGAUGUCUCAACCAAGGAUUGUUGUACCUUAUGUUGGAAAAAUAUGGCCAGGGAAUGGUAUACCCUAUAUUUGCAAUGAUAUUAGGGAGUGGUGUACCCUGCAUUUAAGAUCAAAUCAACUAGGGAGUGGAGACCCUAUGUUGGAAAAGAAACUAAGGAGUGGAGACCCUAUGUCUAAAAUAAAAUCAAAUAGAGGGUGGAGACCCUAUGUUCGAAAAAAGAGAAUAAGCAGUGGAGACCCUAUGUCUAAAAUAAAAUCAACUAGGGAGUGGAGACCCUAAGUUGAAAAAGGCAACUAGGUAGUGGAGACCCUAUGUCUAAAAUAAAAUCAACUAGGGUGUGGAGACCCUAUAUUGAAAAAAAGACUAGGGAGUGGAGACCCUAUGUCUAAAAUAAAAUCAAUUAGGGAGUGGAGACUCUAUGUUGGAAAGGGCAACUAGGGAGUGGAGACCCUAUGUCUAAAAUAAAAUCAACUAGGGAGUGGAGACUCUAUGUUGGAAAAGGCGACUAGGGAAUGGAGACACUUUGUCUAAAAAUAAAAAUCAACUAGGGAGUGGAGACCCUAUGUUGGAAAAGGGCGACUAGGGAGUGGAGACCUUAUGUUGGAAAAGGGCGACUAGGGAGUGGAGAUCCUAUGUCUAAAAUAAAAUCAACUAGGGAGUGGAAAUCCUAUGUUGAAAAACACGACUAGGGAGUGGAGAAACUGUGUCUAAAAUAAAAUCAAGUAGGGAGUGGAGACCCUAUGUUGGAAAAGAAACUAGGGAAUGGAGACCCUAUGUCUAAA
rnacentral:lncRNA from 1 species